rnacentral:lncRNA from 1 species
AUGGAAGAAAUUCUGCCAGAAAGUGAUCAGGGAAGUGAUUUGCCCAAUUCACUAGUAGAAACUGACCCGAUCGCUGGGCAAACUGAGCUGUCCAGCAGUGAUUUGCCCAAAUCACCAGAGAAGGCAGAGAGUGAUCUGCCCAAAUCAACAGACCAGGCAGAAUCCAGUCAAAGGCAGAAACAACAACUUAUGGAGAAAUUCAAGGUACCUCCUCCCUUCCCAAAGAGAUUUGCAAGAUCCCAAAAGGAGAAAGAG